rnacentral:rRNA from 1 species
UACGUAGGGUGCAAGCGUUAAUCGGAAUUACUGGGCGUAAAGCGUGCGCAGGCGGUCUUUUAAGUCAGAUGUGAAAUCCCUGGGCUUAACCUGGGAACUGCAGUCGAUACUGGCGGACUAGAAUGCGGUAGAGGGUGGCGGAACUCCGGGUGUAGCGGUGAAAUGCGUAGAUAUCCGGAAGAACACCGAUGGCGAAGGCAACCACCUGGGCCUGCAUUGACGCUGAGGUACGAAAGCGUGGGGAGCAAACAGG